rnacentral:rRNA from 1 species
UACAGAGGUCUCAAGCGUUUGUUCGGGAUUCAUUGGGCGUAAAGGGUGCGUAGGUGGCGCUGUAAGUCAGGUGUGAAAUUUCGGAGCUUAACUCCGAAACUGCAUUUGAUACUGCGGUGCUCGAGGACUGGAGAGGAGACUGGAAUUUACGGUGUAGCAGUGAAAUGCGUAGAGAUCGUAAGGAAGACCAGUGGCGAAGGCGGGUCUCUGGACAGUUCCUGACACUGAGGCACGAAGGCCCAGGGGGAGCAAAACGGGG